CAGUGGGGAAUAUUGGACAAUGGGGGCAACCCUGAUCCAGCCAUGCCGCGUGAGUGAAGAAGGCCUUCGGGUUGUAAAGCUCUUUUGUCCGGAAAGAAAAGUCUUCGGUGAAUACCCGGGGAUGUUGACGGUACCGGAAGAAUAAGCACCGGCUAACUUCGUGCCAGCAGCCGCGGUAAUACGAAGGGUGCAAGCGUUACUCGGAAUUACUGGGCGUAAAGCGUGCGUAGGUGGUGGUUUAAGUCUGAUGUGAAAGCCCUGGGCUCAACCUGGGAAUGGCAUUGGAAACUGGGUCACUGGAGUGCGGUAGAGGAUGGCGGAAUUCCCGGUGUAGCAGUGAAAUGCGUAGAGAUCGGGAGGAACAUCCGUGGCGAAGGCGGCCAUCUGGACCAGCACUGACACUGAGGCACGAAAGCGUGGGGAGCAAACAGGAUUAGAUACCCUGGUAGUCCACGCCCUAAACGAUGCGAACUGGAUGUUGGGUGCAACUAAGGCACUCAGUAUCGAAGCUAACGCGUUAAGUUCGCCGCCUGGGGAGUACGGUCGCAAGACUG
rnacentral:rRNA from 1 species